rnacentral:tRNA from 2 species
ACCUGGCUGGCUCAGUCGGUAGAGCAUGUGACUCUUGAUCUCAGGGUUGUGGGUUUGAGCCCCACAUUGGGUA